ensembl:misc_RNA Y_RNA Y RNA
GGCUGGUCCAAGUGCAGUGGUGUUUGUUUAGAACUAAUUGGUCACAACCAGUUGCAGAGUUCUUUGUUCCUUCUCCACUCCCACUGCUUCACUUGACUAGCCUUAA